UACGAAGGGGCUAGCGUUGCUCGGAAUCACUGGGCGUAAAGCGCACGUAGGCGGAUUGCUAAGUCAGGGGUGAAAUCCUGGAGCUCAACUCCAGAACUGCCUUUGAUACUGGCGAUCUUGAGUCCGGGAGAGGUGAGUGGAACUGCGAGUGUAGAGGUGAAAUUCGUAGAUAUUCGCAAGAACACCAGUGGCGAAGGCGGCUCACUGGCCCGGUACUGACGCUGAGGAGCGAAAGCGUGGGGAGCGAACAGG
rnacentral:rRNA from 1 species